rnacentral:rRNA from 1 species
AAGGAAUAUUGGUCAAUGGACGCAAGUCUGAACCAGCCAUGCCGCGUGGAUGAUGAAGGCCCUAGGGUUGUAAAGUCCUUUCGGCGGGGAAGAUAAUGACGGUACCCGCAGAAGAAGCCCCGGCUAACUUCGUGCCAGCAGCCGCGGUAAUACGAAGGGGGCUAGCGUUGCUCGGAAUCACUGGGCGUAAAGCGCACGUAGGCGGCUUUUUAAGUCAGGGGUGAAAUCCUGGAGCUCAACUCCAGAACUGCCUUUGAUACUGAGAAGCUUGAGUCCGGGAGAGGUGAGUGGAACUGCGAGUGUAGAGGUGAAAUUCGUAGAUAUUCGCAAGAACACCAGUGGCGAAGGCGGCUCACUGGCCCGGUACUGACGCUGAGGUGCGAAAGCGUGGGGAGCAAA